ACCUGUACUUACUCAUAAUCAACUCCCUUCAAAUUUUCAAAAAUCUUCACACUUAUCAUUUACAACAUCAUUAUACACUGAAAUGUUCAUUACAAGCAAACCAGUUGAAAUUUUACGGAGUAACACAAAUGAAUUACAAUAGUAAAAUGCUAAUUUACACAACUGUUGUCAUAUUUCUUCCUCGCAUGACAGAUUAUGAUCAGCUUCUUAUCAAAAAUUCCCAUGUUGGUUCGAACUUCAUUCAACUGCCACAAAAUGCCAGGUAAUUCCCUAUACAACAGGACGCUAUCAGCAACAUUAUUCGCCAAUUGGGGAUGAUUAAAUUCAUUACGAGGCAUGAUAAUAACAUGGCUCCUACUUUGAUCUCCUUCAACAAUGGAGCCCCAGUUGCCCUUAUGUUGUGCAAGGAAUUUGUCUACAAUCGACCUUUCGCAUUGACAGCUUAUGAAAAUCCACAGUUACAAAUCUAAAACAGUGCCUACCAACAAAAAGCAGUGUCAUUUCACCAUUCAGUUUUAUUUUAUGAUGUACAGAUUAACAAAGAUCUCAAUGGACAAGGUAAAGUGGUUAAACGGAUUAAGUAUGACAAUGCAACCCACUAUAAAGGCAUUUUCUAUAUUCUUUCCAUAAAACACAAUGUCCUACAUACAACAUAAUGCAUACCUCAGCAACCAAACUCCUUCAAAUCUUUUUGCUCUUCCAAUUAAAAUAAUGAAAUGCAAAUGACUGAAUAGUUUUCUCAAAACCUACAUUUUAAUUAUCUUUUGACCAAUAGCAUAUGCACUCGCGACUCAGGAAAUAAAUAACCAAAAAACAUGAUAGACUAGGAUAAAAAGCAACAAUAUUCAUUAAGACAUUAAGAAAGCAACCAUAAGUAUAACGAAAGUGAAAGGCUGUAUCAUGCAUUACAAUACCGCUGCAAUGCAAUCUACGUACACAAAGAUGACAUUUGUACCCAAGCAUGCAGCAAAUACGCUUGCAGGUCAGAUCUCUCCAGUGGAUCACCAACCUAUGCACUACUUUUUCUGCAGAGACAUACCUCUUCAACCAAAAUAAAGACAUUGUCUUCUAAUAAUGACCAAGCCACGACAUAAACUGACAUAAGAAAACUUCAAUCUGCAAAUGCACAAACAACACUUCCUUUGUAAUGACGUAUUUUAGUACGUACAAACUAAACAGAAGUCCAAUGAUGGGAAUAAUAAUAGAACAACGCAAUGAAUCAUCUAAUUACAAAUCCCUUAUCACCUGCUGCUACUCCAACUAUGUUGCAAUGUUUAGUUGCUUCAGUCUAGAAAUGGCAAAACCUUCCUGUCUGCAAAUGCAGAUAUUGGUAUGAAGUCGUGACAUUUUAUGCAUGUCUAUCGACAUACUUAUAGGAUAAACGCAUACCUCCAACUAUGGAGAGAGGACAAUCAGUGUCUUCAACUACUUCUCCAUUUCCUGAUAACAAAAAUUAAUAGGUUAUAGUAUAAGUAACCAGCAGAAUAAGCCAAAUAGCACACGAGCAACAGAGAGAAAAGCAUUUCUGUUAAUGGAUAUGCAAUAAUUCUGCCACCCACGGGCUGAUAGACUGAAUAAAGACACGUCAUGAUUGUUGCAAUGUCUAACCAUUCAGCAAGCUAAAAUAAUUGAUUGAACAUUAUAUCCCACUCUAUGCUUAAAUGAAUAGAAAAAUAUAUGUAAGUAUUCACCAUACAGAUGCAUCAUGGUAGGAACAUUAGUCCAAAGGGAACAACUACAGGGAAGUGACCUCAAGUGAUGAUAAAUCAAUCAUACUUAAAUAAGGAUGUGUUAAUGCAUAAGUAAUACAAAACACAGUUGAUUGCCAAACAAUAUUUCUUCAUGGCAGCGAGAUUUCAUAAAUUCAAUUUCCAACAGCUUCUCUAUCUUAAAGGAAACAGACAAAGAAUCAACAGAAACAUACUGAACCUAAGCAGGAUGAAGCUUGCGAUUAAACUCUUCAUACAGUCUAUAACAUGCAAAACCAUUUACAAUAUCCCCAAGAAGAACCAUAAUCGGCGUCCAACGUAAAUCUCAAAUAUUUACCUUUUUGUUUAUGUAAUCGGCGUCCAAACGCGGCCGAUCGAUCACCGAAUUUGGGUUGUUGGCGUCGAUAUUGUACUAUGUUUACUACAAUGCCACAAUCGCAACUGACGCAGCGCUUCCAAUUGAUGCGCACGCUUUUCAAAUUAACAUUAUUUUUUUUCUUUUUCUUAUUCGGUUAUUCACACUGUUUUUAUCGGCCACACCAUUUACAUUAUUUUAUUACCUGUCCAUUUUUCAGUUGUUGGAUUUCACUACUCUUCAAUCGGAUGGCCAGACCACAAGACGACAAAAUAAUAGGUACCUUCCAACCGGUGGAAGGUAGUUUUCGCCUAGAAAUUUAUUCUCC
rnacentral:lncRNA from 1 species